rnacentral:sRNA from 1 species
UGGUCAUUAUGCCGACCGGGUGCCUGCACUAAGUUCGGCAUCAGUGUGGUGACCUCCUGUGAGCGGGGGGCCACCAAGUUGCCUAAGGAUGGCUGAACUGGCCCAGGUCAGAAAGGGAGCAGGUCAGAACUCCCACAUCGAACAGUAGUGGGAGUGUGCCUGGGUGGAAUAGCA